AAUACAACCGCAAUUUCUCAGUUCAUGGCUCUGCGAUUUGUAUCAACGAAAGUUUUGUGCAGUGUGUUGUGUUGUUGAGAAAAUGGCAGGAUCAAGUGUAGUUGUUUUAGAUAGAGGAAAUAAUACAACCUGUACUAUUAAUUUACACGGUGCCACUGUUGUAUCAUGGAGAGUCAAUAACCAAGAACAACUUUUUGUAAGCAAACAGGCAGUCUUCGAUGGAAAGAAAGCUAUUCGUGGAGGAAUACCAUUCGUUUUCCCACAGUUUGGUCCUUGGACAUUUGGCCCUCAUCAUGGAUUUGCCCGAAUUAUGCGCUGGUGUUUGGAAAGGGCACCCGAGCGACUGCCCAGUGGCGAUGUAGAGGCAGUCUUCUCUAUAAUGGACGAUGAUUUCACACGAUCUAUGUGGAACUACCCAUUUCGUUUAACUUAUCGUUUAAUUUUGCGUGAAAAAGAAUUACAUUUUCACAUAGGCGUUUACAACCCAUCCAAGGAGUUGACAUUCUCCUUUAAUCUCUUGUUGCACACAUAUUUGAAAGUUCCUGAUGUGCGCCGAUGUCAGAUAACGGGACUGCGUGGCUGCACAUAUCUGGACAAAACUUGCGAUGGACUGCUUUAUCAGGAAACUAGAGAUGUGGUCACAGUGUCGGAAUGGACGGACAGGGUAUAUCAGCAAACUCCUCAAGAACAUAUUGUUACGAAUGUAGUUUCUGGUAGAAAGAUGAGAUUGCAAAAGUAUAACCUGCCUGAUACUGUUGUUUGGAAUCCAUGGAUAGAGAAAGCACGGGAAAUGUCCGAUUUUGGUGAUGAGGAAUACCCUAACAUGCUAUGUGUUGAAUCCGGUCAUGUAUCCAGUCCAGUUUUGUUACUUCCUGGAACAGCAUUUGAAGCAAGCCAAAUAUUACAAAUCAACCGAAAGCGACGUUCUUGUAUGAUAUUCAAGAUGACUUCUCAAUGGCAUCAAUACCAAAUAAAUCAAGAAAUGCUGACAUUUCACAAAGUAGGAAUAAAAGAUCUGUGAGAAAACGUACUGUACCAGCAAUGUAUAUGAAAAUUUCGAGGCAAAACAAAAUGCAUAGAACCAAUAUUAUUUUGUCCCGAGAGACAGAGAAAUCAUUUCGAAACAAACCAUUUUACUUGAAACGACAUAUGUUCCAUUAACACCCUUUUUGUGCAUACGAUAUCAGUAAUGAAAAGAAACGAUUGCUAAUAAAAAGAUAAAAUAUGGGUUUGACAAUAAUAGAGAAAGAACAGAACUGGAAUGGCAGCCUCAUAGAUCUUCUACAAUUACACCAA